AUGAGGUUCCCUGCUCAGCUCCUGGGGCUGCUAGUGCUUUGGUUCCCUGGAUCCAGUGGGGAUAUUGUGCUCACCCAGACCCCUCUGUCCCUGCCCGUCACCCCUGGACAGCCGGCCUCCAUCUCCUGCAGGGCCAGUCAGAGCCUCCUUCACAGUAAUGGAAACACCUAUCUGUACUGGUUCCUGCAGAAGUCAGGCCAGUCUCCACGGUGCCUGAUCUAUGGGGUUCUUGACAGGUUCAGUGGCAGCGGGUCAGGGACAGAUUUCACCCUGAAAAUCAGCAGGGUGGAGGCUGAGGAUGUUGGAGUUUAUUACUGCAUGCAAGCUCUACAAUCUCCUUGCACAGUGGUUCAGCCCUGA